UCCUCCGUGGCGCAAUUGGCUAGCGCGUUCGACUGUUAAUCUACAUUGUAGAAAAUAAAUCGAGAGGUUGGUGGUUCGAGCCCACCCGGGGGAG